GAUGAACGCUGGCGGCGUGCCUAAUACAUGCAAGUCGAGCGAACGGACGAGAAUCUUGCUUCUCUGAUGUUAGCGGCGGACGGGUGAGUAACACGUGGCUAACCUACCUAUAAGACUGGGAUAACUUCGGGAAACCGGAACUCAUAUCGGAUGAUAUUUUGAACCGCAUGGUUCAAAAGUGAAAGACGGUCUUGCUGUCACUUAUAGAUGUAUCCGCGCUGCAUUAGCUAGUUGGUAAGGUAACGGCUUACCAAGGCAACGAUGCAUAGCCGACCUGAGAGGAUGAUCGGCCACACUGGAACUGAGACACGGUCCAGACUCCUACGGGAGGCAGCAGUAGGGAAUCUUCCGCAAUGGGCGAAAGCCUGACGGAGCAACGCCGCGUGAGUGAUGAAGGUCUUCGGAUCGUAAAACUCUGUUAGUAGGGAAGAACAUAUGUGUAAGUAACUGUGCACAUCUUGACGGUACCUAAUCAGAAAGCCACGGCUAACUACGUG
rnacentral:rRNA from 1 species